rnacentral:rRNA from 1 species
UACGUAGGGUGCAAGCGUUGUCCGGAAUUAUUGGGCGUAAAGAGCUCGUAGGCGGUCUGUCACGUCGGACGUGAAAAUCAGGGCUCAACCCUGGCCUGCGUUCGAUACGGGCAGACUAGAGUUCGGUAGGGGAGACUGGGAAUUCCUGGUGUAGCGGUGAAAUGCGCAGAUAUCAGGAAGAACACCCGUGGCGAAGGCGGCUCUCUGGAACGCAACUGACGCUGAGACGCGAAAGCGUGGGGAGCAAACAGG